GACGAACGCUGGCGGCGUGCCUAAUACAUGCAAGUUGAGCGCUGAAGGUUGGUACUUGUACCAACUGGAUGAGCAGCGAACGGGUGAGUAACGCGUGGGUAAUCUGCCUUUGAGCGGGGGACAACAUUUGGAAACGAAUGCUAAUACCGCAUAAAAACUUUAAACACAAGUUUUAAGUUUGAAAGAUGCAAUUGCAUCACUCAAAGAUGAUCCCGCGUUGUAUUAGCUAGUUGGUGAGGUAAAGGCUCACCAAGGCGAUGAUACAUAGCCGACCUGAGAGGGUGAUCGGCCACAUUGGGACUGAGACACGGCCCAAACUCCUACGGGAGGCAGCAGUAGGGAAUCUUCGGGCAUGGACGAAAGUCUGACCGAGCAACGCCGCGUGAGGGAAGAAGGGUUUCGGAUCGUAAAACUCUGUUGGUAGAGAAGAAAGUUGGUGGGAGUGGAAAGCUCAUCAAGUGACGGUAACUACCCAGAAAGGGACGGCUAACUACGUG
rnacentral:rRNA from 1 species